rnacentral:rRNA from 1 species
GUCCAGACUCCUACGGGAGGCAGCAGUGGGGAAUAUUGCACAAUGGGGGAAACCCUGAUGCAGCGACGCCGCGUGAGUGAAGAAGUAUCUCGGUACGUAAAGCUCUAUCAGCAGGGAAGAAAAUGACGGUACCUGACCAAGAAGCCCCGGCUAACUACGUGCCAGCAGCCGCGGUAAUACGUAGGGGGCAAGCGUUAUCCGGAUUUACUGGGUGUAAAGGGAGCGUAGACGGCAGCGCAAGUCUGGAGUGAAAUGCCGGGGCCCAACCCCGGAACUGCUUUGGAAACUGUAUAUCUAGAGUGUCGGAGAGGCAAGUGGAAUUCCUGGUGUAGCGGUGAAAUGCGUAGAUAUCAGGAGGAACACCAGUGGCGAAGGCGGCUUGCUGGACGAUGACUGACGUUGAGGCUCGAAAGCGUGGGGAGCAAACAGGAUUAGAUACCCUGGUAAAG